AAGAGCUUGCUCUUAUGAAGUUAGCGGCGGACGGGUGAGUAACACGUGGGUAACCUGCCCAUAAGACUGGGAUAACUCCGGGAAACCGGGGCUAAUACCGGAUAACAUUUUGAACCGCAUGGUUCGAAAUUGAAAGGCGGCUUCGGCUGUCACUUAUGGAUGGACCCGCGUCGCAUUAGCUAGUUGGUGAGGUAACGGCUCACCAAGGCAACGAUGCGUAGCCGACCUGAGAGGGUGAUCGGCCACACUGGGACUGAGACACGGCCCAGACUCCUACGGGAGGCAGCAGUAGGGAAUCUUCCGCAAUGGACGAAAGUCUGACGGAGCAACGCCGCGUGAGUGAUGAAGGCUUUCGGGUCGUAAAACUCUGUUGUUAGGGAAGAACAAGUGCUAGUUGAAUAAGCUGGCACCUUGACGGUACCUAACCAGAAAGCCACGGCUAACUACGUGCCAGCAGCCGCGGUAAUACGUAGGUGGCAAGCGUUAUCCGGAAUUAUUGGGCGUAAAGCGCGCGCAGGUGGUUUCUUAAGUCUGAUGUGAAAGCCCACGGCUCAACCGUGGAGGGUCAUUGGAAACUGGGAGACUUGAGUGCAGAAGAGGAAAGUGGAAUUCCAUGUGUAGCGGUGAAAUGCGUAGAGAUAUGGAGGAACACCAGUGGCGAAGGCGACUUUCUGGUCUGUAACUGACACUGAGGCGCGAAAGCGUGAGGAGCAAACAGGAUUAGAUACCCUGGUAGUCCACGCCGUAAACGAUGAGUGCUAAGUGUUAGAGGGUUUCCGCCCUUUAGUGCUGAAGUUAACGCAUUAAGCACUCCGCCUGAGGAGUACGGCCGCAAGGCUGAAACUCAAAGGAAUUGACGGGGGCCCGCACAAGCGGUGGAACA
rnacentral:rRNA from 2 species